GAGAGUUAUAUUCUUUUAAAAAACUAUAUAUGGGUGUACCACCAGCAUGCAGUGGCCAUGGAGGCUAGAACUCCCCAGGGCUGGGGUUACAGGUAUUAUAAGCCACUAUAUGGAUGCUGGUAAUUGAACCCAGUUCCAUGGACUUUUUCCCAAUACCUCUGGUCACUUGCAACAGUCUGCUUGGAUCCUUCUGGCCCCUGCAGGCACUGCGCUCUUGAGGUACAGACAUACAUGCAGGUGCAAUACCCAUAUACAUAAAUCAAUAAUAAAGACAAAAAUAAACGUUUAAAUAGAGUUGCCCAGUAAUGAGGCAACAAUGCCCCUGCUAGACACCAGAGGCUAAUAAAUAAAAAGCCCAGUACCAGGAACUGGUUGUUUAGUCGUUGGCCACUGAAUUUCCCUAGGUCCCAAUAUUACAGGCUACUACCACUGUUCUUGGCUGCCCUCGAACUUGAUAGUGAGACUCUGUUGCUGACUAUACCGCAUACUGGAGUCAUGGGACAUGGAGAAACUAAGCAAGUACUGACCUGGAAGCUGCAGUGCUCCUGGCUACCUUUCACACAGUCUUACCAAGCUGUGAAUCCUGCAGUCUGUGACGACAACCGCUCUAGUAUCCCACCGAAGCAAUAGUGCCAUAAACAUCAUGGGAGCAGCCAACCAUUUGUGAUUGACUUAAGUCCUACUUCACAAGCA
rnacentral:lncRNA from 1 species